GCUGAUGGACUUUAUACCGAUGGAAAUUUGCAUGAUUUAUAAAACCGCGAGCGAACUGGAUUUUCGUCUAUGUAGAACCCUCUAUGGCGUGAAGUCAGAGUCAGCAGAACCUGAAUGUGUAAUGCUUGAAAAAAAAAAAAAGUGUACUCACACACUAGAUUAAUCCCUCCUGAGCGAUCAUAACUCUCCAUCGUGAUUUACCGGGUGGCUUCCCAGAACUACAGUAAUCAUCAACAACAGGCCUUCCUUGCGAGACAAGAAUCUUCACCAUCUGAAUUAUGAGUGCCCGUCGUCAUUUUUCCUUCUCUCCUUCACUGGAGGGUCUGGAUUUGAAUCUGACCAUUCUUCCCUCCUCUCACCUGUCAGUCCAC